rnacentral:lncRNA from 1 species
AGAUGGAACAGGGCAGGCGCUCACAGUGGAGGUACCUGGUGGUGUGGGGUUCUCCAUGGGGUGGGUACAGGGUGGGUGUUCACUGAAAAGCAACAUGAGGGAAACCUCCUGUGUGUGCUUUCUGUCAGAAUAUAAAAAUACAUUUUUAUCUAUAAGUACAGGGGAAUGAUCCUUUGCAAAGCCAGAGGGGUGAAGGCUGUGUCGAAGAGAGGAGCCGAAUCCAAGGAUUUUGGCUCUACAAGUGCUUCACUUCCCAUCCCCAACAACCUGACUGCAGAAGCUUCCCUGAAAUCUCUGAGAAACAUAGGUGUCUGUCUUGUUUGGAUAAAAUGAGGAAAAUGUCCUCCCUGAAGCAUUUUCUGACAUUCAUGGAAAUGUGCUGAAAUGAGGGCUGAGAGAUGUCAGGUUUCCUCUGUCUGUUGCCCUUUGUGAACGUGUGUUGCUGUGUGCAGUGAAAUGCAGGGUAAAUUCCUGUGCCAGCACAGCCACCUCAUAACCCAGCUGUGCCAGAGCAUCACCACUGCUCCUGCCUCUGCUCCAACAACCCUGCCAUGGCAUGAAGAGACUCAAACAGCAUUUUGCCUGCCCCAGGUAUGUGACGACACAACAGAGUUUUCAGGAAAACAGCUCAUACACCCCUAAAACAGCAGAGCAGGGGACUACAGACCUCACAGACACACUUAUUUGAUCACAGAUAGGAAGAUGGUGCGUGACAGUAAUUAAAUUUUUCCUCUCAACUAAUUUAAUUUGUUAGCCAAAUAGGGAGAAAGGGUUUAUUGG